rnacentral:rRNA from 1 species
UACGAAGGGGGCUAGCGUUGUUCGGAAUUACUGGGCGUAAAGCGCACGUAGGCGGAUAUUUAAGUCAGGGGUGAAAUCCCGGGGCUCAACCCCGGAACUGCCUUUGAUACUGGGUAUCUCGAGUCCGAGAGAGGUGAGUGGAAUUCCGAGUGUAGAGGUGAAAUUCGUAGAUAUUCGGAGGAACACCAGUGGCGAAGGCGGCUCACUGGCCCGGUACUGACGCUGAGGUGCGAAAGCGUGGGGAGCAAACAGG